GAGUCGUUUUCCGAGUGGCUAAAGGAGGUGGACUGUAAAUUCACUAGUAAAAACUUUCGCUGGUUCAAAUCCAGCACGACUCA
rnacentral:tRNA from 1 species